GACGUAGGGCGCGAGCGUUUGUCCGGAUUUAUUGGGCGUAAAGAGCUCGUAGGCGGCUUGUCGCGUCGUCCGUGAAAACCUGCAGCUCAACUGCAGGCUUGCGGUCGAUACGGGCAGGCUAGAGUCCGGUAGGGGAGCGUGGAAUUCCUGGUGUAGCGGUGAAAUGCGCAGAUAUCAGGAGGAACACCGGUGGCGAAGGCGGUUCUCUGGGCAUGUCCUGACGCUGGAGGAGCGAAAGCCGUGGGGAGCGAACAGG
rnacentral:rRNA from 1 species